rnacentral:rRNA from 1 species
ACACCGGCGGCUCGAGUGGUAACCGUUAUUAUUGGGUCUAAAGGGUCUGUAGCCGGCCGGAUAAGUCUCUUGGGAAAUCUGGCAGCUCAACUGUCAGGCUUUCAGGAGAUACUGUCUGGCUCGAGGCCGGGAGAGGUGAGAGGUACUUCAGGGGUAGGGGUGAAAUCUUGUAAUCCUUGAAGGACCACCAGUGGCGAAGGCGUCCCACCAGAACGGACCUGACGGCAAGGGACGAAAGCUAGGGGCACGAACCGGAUUAGAUCCCCGGGUAGUCCUAGCCGUAAACGAUACUCGCUAGGUGUCGGCCACGGUGCGACCGUGGUCGGUGCCGUAGGGAAGCCGUGAAGCGAGCCACCUGGGAAGUACGGCCGCAAGGCUGAAACUUAAAUGAAUUGGCGGGG